AAAGAGGAGACGGAGAAUAGGGAACGCUGUAUAACUGUGUUCUAUCUCAUUCUCUCGCAGGCUAUAUACUAUAAGAUCUAUAUGUAUGUCUCUUUUUAGUGUCGCUUUUUCGUUUAAUCGAGUCUCAAAUCACUCCCAACGAUUCUAAAUAAGUUUUCACUUCAAUAAGUACUCCGAGAAGUUACUGCGAUCACAACAGUGGCUUGUGCAGUGGCUUUUGCAAUCACUAAAUUUGGCGAAAAAAACAGUUCAACGUCGUGCAGCGCAAUUAAGUUAUAUCAGUGAAUUCACAACUACCAUUUGCCACGUUCCAGGAAAGGAAAACGUAGUUCCGGACGUACUCUCAAAAAUCGAGUCUAUUGAACUAAGAGACAUAUCAUAAAUCUUGAAUAAAUAGCCGCCGAACAAGAAAACGACAAGUCACUGUACUCCCUGCGCAACAACAACAAUAGGAGUAUUCAACUCAGUCAAAUCACAGUUCCUGGCGAACUCCACAGUCUGAGUCACCCAGGAGUACGUGCUGGCACGAAGCUAGUUCAACAGCGAUUUGGGUGGGACAAAAUGCGACGAGAUUGCGAGCAAUUUGUGUGUAAUUGCCUUGCAUGUCAGAAAGCCAAAGUUCAUCGCCACACAUGAUCAGCAAUGGAACACUACGACGCCAGAUAUGAUCGCUUUGAACACAAAUCUAUCUUGUGAGGCCACUACCCGCAUCGAAAAACUUUACAUAUACAGUUUUCCAAUAAGAUGUGUUAUUUUGAUAUUCAAAGAAAAAUGCUAUUUUUUAAUAUAAA